CUAAUUCUUCCAGGUGCUUUUUUUCCUGGCCUUGAGUAGUUUCCUCACACGCAUGCCCUGGUAAGUACUCAGCUGAAUAUUCAAGGGAACCUUCUACUGAUCUCUGAAAUUCUCUCUCUGGGACUGUUUCCUCACAGGAUUCUGUACUGUGAAUCCCUGCUGCUUUGAUCUUCCAGAUUCCCAGCGAUUGCUAACGCGGAACCUAAAGAUCUAGAGGGAGCCAGUCAAGCUCUCUAGAACAGCACUCUCCAGGCUCUGCGUGGAGGGAAAGAUCAGCACCAACUCUUCACUGGAACAUGCUCCAAGCUCCACGCCUGCCCCACUCCUUGAGGUGGUUGGCUCAGGAGAAGUGACAGAGAAAUGUGUGUACAACUGGAGAAAGAUAAACAAUGGAUCUCUCUUUGUCAAUGAAGUCCAUAAAAUCCAUUACAAUUUAAUGGAAAUUUUAAAAACAGAAGAAAUAUAGUGAUGUCACUCUUAAGGAACUCUCUUACAUUCUGCUCUGUUGUGGUUUAAGUGUGGUAAGUGAAGUUAUUUUAUUGGGAAAGGGAUUUUACUGCAUUGUAAGGGAAAGCAGAUUCAUGGCAAGUCCUUGAAUUGGGAAAAAUCUUCAGUUUCUGAGCAGAGCCUAUAAUUUGCAUUUGAUCUUAUAAUUCUGGGACGAAGUAAUUAUAGCAUGUUAUAUACAGAUAAGACUGAGGAAUAAUUUCAUUUUACAUGCUAACAAUGUUCACAUUGGAAAAGAUGUCACUGAAAGCAACACUGAGAAAGUCAGUGAAAAGUUGGCCUGAAAAAAAAAAAAAAGUAUUUUACAUAUGAGGUGGAGAAUGAUUUCAGUUUGAAGAUGAUGUUUAUAUGUGGAAGAGAUCAAAGAGAAGCAAAAAGUUUAUACGUAACACCAUAACUUGAAAUAGAAAGCUUAUUUUCUUAUUUUGACCUCAUUAAUUUAUAUGAACCAACAGUGUAAACUCAUCAUGCAAUAUUUUGUUUUCAUCUGUACAAUGGGAGGAAAAUGACAUUCUUACUUAGAGUGAAAUUGAGGAACCCAAGAAGGAAUCUCUUAGAGCAUUUCUAAACAGAAAAUAUUAUAAAGUAGUAAAUUUGAAAGAGAUGAGAACAACUUGAAUGAAAAACAAGGAAGAGGAGAAUUCACCAUCUGGACUAAAAUGAAAGAGAAGGAAAAU
rnacentral:lncRNA from 1 species